rnacentral:miRNA from 1 species
GUGAGUGUUUACUCGAUUCGUACCCGUUUAAUUAACAACUGGUGGCAGACGGAGUGGGCUGACAACCGGUGUGUGUGUGUGUGUGUGUG